rfam:Camponotus floridanus CamFlo_1.0_4.contig2608, whole genome shotgun sequence.
AACUAAAUGAUGAAAACAUUAAUUCAAUUGAUAUUAUUGUGAUAUUAUUCUAUUUCGAGCUUUUUAACACUGAUGUUA